rnacentral:rRNA from 1 species
CCUACGGGGGGCAGCAGUGGGGAAUAUUGGACAAUGGGCGAAAGCCUGAUCCAGCCAUGCCGCGUGUGUGAAGAAGGCCUUCGGGUUGUAAAGCACUUUCAGUGGGGAAGAAAGCCUUGGGGCUAAUACCCUCGAGGAAGGACAUCACCCACAGAAGAAGCACCGGCUAACUCCGUGCCAGCAGCCGCGGUAAUACGGAGGGUGCGAGCGUUAAUCGGAAUUACUGGGCGUAAAGCGCGCGUAGGCGGUCUGAUAAGCCGGUUGUGAAAGCCCCGGGCUCAACCUGGGAACGGCAUCCGGAACUGUCAGGCUAGAGUGCAGGAGAGGAAGGUAGAAUUCCCGGUGUAGCAGUGAAAUGCGUAGAGAUCGGGAGGAAUACCAGUGGCGAAGGCGGCCUUCUGGACUGACACUGACGCUGAGGUGCGAAAGCGUGGGUAGCAAACAGGACUAGAUACCCCGGUAGUC